CAUGAGUUGGAAUAAAAAGAUAAUUCGACUCAUCGCAAAUUUUUAGUACAUAAGAUAGAAAGAAAAAUAACACUUUUGG
rnacentral:tRNA from 1 species